AAGAUUGUAGGGGGGC
rnacentral:tRNA from 1 species